rnacentral:rRNA from 1 species
UUAUAAUAAAAUUAUAAUAAUUUAAUUAAUUUAAUAAAUUUAUUUUAUUUUUAUUUUAUUUUUAAAAACUGAAAAGGAAUUUAUUAUUAUAAUUUAAUAGAAAAAUUAAUGUACCUUUUGCAUUAGGGGUUUUUAAAAAAAAAUAAAAAUUUAUUUUUCUCGAAAUAUUUUGAGCUAAAAUUUAAUUUUUCUAAUGUUUCAAUAUUAAAAUAAAGUAAAUUUUAGAGGUGAAAUUCUUAUCAAAAAAUAUAAUAUCUAGUUAAAAAAAUUAAUUAAAUGUUAUUUUGUAAUAUUAAUUUAUUUUUUAAAAUUACAAAAAAAGGUUUUUGGGAUAAGCUAAAAAUUAUUAAAUUUAUAAUAUUUUUAAAAAUAAUAAAAGAAUUAAAAUUUUUCUAUUCAUUUUUAUAAAUGAAUUAAAUUAAAUUGAAAUAAAAAUUUUUUUUUUUUAAAUUAAAUUUAAUUAAAAAUUUAAAAAAAAAUGAAAAUAUUAGUAAAAAAAAAUUUUUUAUAAUUAUUAAUAAUUAAUUAAAAAUUAAUUUAAUUUAAUUUUUAAGAACUAGGCAA